rnacentral:misc_RNA from 1 species
AACGCACGAGACCUGCGGACCUGCGGAGGGAUCAUUAAUGAGAAACUGCCCCUCACGGGUAGAUCUCCCACCCUUUGUAAACUUACCUUUGUUGCUUUGGCAGGCCCGUCUCCGGACCGCCGGCUUCGGCUGGCCAGUGCCUGCCAGAGGAUUCUAAAACUCUGUCUGUCAGUGUUGUCUGAGUCUAUAUACAAUCGUUAAAACUUUCAACAAUGGAUCUCUAGAUCGGAAGAGCACACG